UACGUAGGGACCAAGCGUUGUUCGGAUUUACUGGGCGUAAAGGGCGCGUAGGCGGCAUGACAAGUCACUUGUGAAAUCUCCGGGCUUAACUCGGAACGGCCAAGUGAAACUGUCAAGCUAGAGUGCGGUAGGGGAGAUCGGAAUUCCUGGUGUAGCGGUGAAAUGCGCAGAUAUCAGGAGGAACACCGGUGGCGAAGGCGGAUCUCUGGGCCGUAACUGACGCUGAGGAGCGAAAGCAUGGGGAGCGAACAGG
rnacentral:rRNA from 1 species